UAGCAGGCUCUAGUCACAAUGUUAUAGGUAGCAGGCUCUAGUCACAAUGUUAUAGGUAGCAGGCUCUAGUCAAGAUGCUAUUGGUAGCAGGCUCUAGUCAAGAUGCUAUAGGUAGCAGGCUCGAGAUGUUAUACACUACUGUUCAAAAGUUGAAUGGAAUAUCUACAUAGGCGUACAGAGGCCCAUUAUCAGCAACCAUCACUCCUGUGUUCCAAUGGCACGUUUUGUUAGCUAAUCCAAGUUUAUCAUUU